AAAACAAAAGGUUUUAACUAUUGACAUGAAAGGUCUUGAAUGUGUGAACACAGUGAAAAAUUUCUCGUAUGAUACGAAAAAUAAAUGUUGUUAUGUGGAGCUGAUUGGGUUCGGGUAUUUCAUGGUUUGAAAAAACCAUCAACUGGAGAAGAACCAACUUAUAAGGAGAUUUUACUGUUUUGACGUGAAUUGCU